AGUGAACGCUGGCGGUAGGCCUAACACAUGCAAGUCGAACGGCAGCACAGUAAGAGCUUGCUCUUACGGGUGGCGAGUGGCGGGCGGGUGAGGAAUACAUCGGAAUCUACUUUUUCGGGGGGGAUAACGUAGGGAAACUUACGCUAAUACCGCAUACUACCUACGGCUGAAAGCAGGAGAUCUUCGCACCUUGCGCGAUUGAAUGAGCCGAUGUCGGAUUAGCUAGUUGGGGGGGUAAAGGCUCACCAAGGCGACGAUCCGUAGCUGGUCUGAGAGGAUGAUCAGCCACACUGGAACUGAGACACGGUCCAGACUCCUACGGGAGGCAGCAGUGGGGAAUAUUGGACAAUGGGCGCAAGCCUGAUGCAGCCAUACCGCGUGGGUGAAGAAGGCCUUCGGGUUGUAAAGCACUUUUGUUGGGAAAGAAAAGCAGCAGGUUAAUACCCCGCUGUUCUGACGGUACCCAAAGAAUAAGCACCGGCUAACUUCGUG
rnacentral:rRNA from 1 species